CAUACACCGCCAAAGGGGUUAACCCCAGCUUGGAAGGUCAUGGCAGCUAUUAGGGUGGCAACUACCAAGAGAGCGUUGUGGGUGUCGGCUCUAUUCUUCUCCUUAUCCUUCUUUUUGAACUUUCCUUGUACUGAAAAUAACGACACUAGUCCCUAAAAGUAAUCCCAACCAUUGUUUUCUCUUUGGUUAUGACCUACAAACAGAAUUCAAGAAUUGAUGAAGCUCUAUGGGGAUUGAAGAAAAAAAAGGUAGUAGAUGGAUUUCUCCAGAAAAGCUUUGGGUUUGGGUGAGUCUUGAUUCAGCUUUUAUAGCAAGCAAUUUACCAUAACAGUUGGCAACAAUUUCAAUCUUGUGACAAACGUGAAGUCAGAAGCGGAGGGAGGUAGGGCCCCAGGGGCGGCCUAAUAAGUUCAAAGGUCUAAAGUAAAAUAUUCAAAUGAGGCUUUUUUUAUUGAAAUUAAAAAAAUUAUUAAAAUUUUAUCCUUCUAACUUUUGGAGAUGUAAAAUUUUUAAUUAAACUUUUAUAAUCAAGUUAUUCUAAUAUAUCUUUUUCAAUUGAUAAUAUAGUCAAUCCAAUCUUUCUUGAGACAUUGUUGAUCUUAAAUAAGAUUUUAUUAAUUUUAGUUUUGAAAAAUUUCUCCUGAAGCAUCAUUUACUCGAAUUAUUAACAUUAUUUUAAAAAUAUUGAACUAUUAUAAUUAUCUUAUAUUUUUUAAAUGGCUAAUAUAAAAUCAACAAUCAAAAUUUUUAAUUCAAAUAAAUCAACUAUAACAUAAAAUAAAAUAAUAUAACAAUAUAAUAUAAAUCUAAAUUAAAGUAAAAAAAUCUGUAAAUAUUAGAACAAUAGUACCUAAUUAUUGAAUGCUUAUUCCAAAUCGUAAAUGAGUUUCACAACUUUAUGAAGAUAAUAAAAGAACGGACUUCUAGUAUAUUUUUUGGAGAAAAAUUGAAGUUAAAGGAAGAAAGAACAAAUGAGAAAGGAAGAAAGAACAAAUGAGAAAGGAAGAUUUUAAAAAUAGAUAUUAUACAUUGAAAAAAAUAAUUAGUUUUAUAUAUAGAAAAAAAAUAACUGUUGGAAAUCAUUAAAUAUAUUGAUUGGAAAUAACGGAAAUAAGUGCAUGUUUGGCCUAAAUUUUUUUUAGCUUAUCUACCUCUAAAAGUAAAAGUCAGGCCAAACAUGAUUUUUUGAUAAGCUCUUAAAAAAAUAAUUUUUUUUAAAAAUAAAAUUUUUAAAAAAAGACCUUAAAAAAAAGCUCCAAUGAGGAGCUUUUUCUUCUUUUCUUUUAAAAAUAUAAGAGAAUUUUUAUUUUUGUUCCAAAAAUAUCCUCAUUUAUUAAAAAUAAUUACAAUAUUAUCCUCUAAAAAAAAGAAAUACAUUCUAUGAUAAUUUUAACAAAAAUUAUAACUUAUAAAAGGAAAUUUACUAAACAACUUUAGCUUAAUUUUAAAAACUAUUAUUUUUCAUAAGAGCUUCAUAAUAACUUUUAAGUUUGAAAAAAGCCAAGCUAAACAGACUCUAAAUAAGAAAAAAUAUAGCUGUUGGAAAUGAUUAAAUGCAUGUAACUGUUAGUUUAUUGAAAAUAAAAGAAUAUAGUUGAGAAUUAAUAAUAUUCUAAAAAUAAAAAAAUAAUAGAAAAUUAAGAUUUAUUAAGCAUAUAAUUAAAAAAAUAAAAGAACAAAUAAUUUGAUGAAUUAUUUUUUAUUUUUUUAUUUUUUUAUUUAAUUAAUUAUGUUAUAAUUAUUAUAAAAUUAUAAUUUGUUUUUAAAAUUGAAGCCUCUCCAAAUUGAGGCCUAAAGCCCUUGCUUGGGUGGCUUCACCCUAGGGCAGACCCUGUAGGGCCCCCGUGCCCCCCUACCCCCUUUCUAAAUUUAAAAAAUUUAUAAAUAUUUUAAAAAUUUUAAACGCUUAUAUUAAUUUUUGAAAUAAGCAAUUUCUUAAAAAUAUAAAUACUAUUAACAGAAAUUAAAAAAAGAUUACCAUUUUAUUUUUUGUUAAUUUAAAAAAUUAUUAUUAUAUUCUAAAAAUUAAAUAAAAGAAAGGAUAAAAGCAUCGAUCGAGGCUCCCUAAGGGAGAAUCAAGGUCCCUAAGGGAGCUUCGGUGCUCCCCAUCUUGAGAGGUUUUUUUUUUUUAAUUAAUAAAAAAAUAAUAAAAUUAUAUAAAGUAAUUUUUAAAAUUAAUUAAGAGUAAAAUUUUCUUUUUACUCUUAUUACGUCAGCAAGUUGACGAAAAUACUAACGGUUAACUAACGGUUGGACUUAUGUGUCAAAUAGAAAAUAUUUUUUUGCUGAGUGUCCAUUUUGAAAACUAAUAGAUUUUCAUGUAAUUUCGAUUAAAACUUAGGUGGAUAAAGAUAUUUUAUCUAAUAUUUUUUAUUUUGUUUUAAAUAUUUAUAAUUUUAAAUUUAAAAAAUUUAAAAAUACUAGCAAUGACUCAAAGCAUCGAAGAAAGCAAAAAAGAAUUUUAUUCAUUGUGCACUGAAAUUAGGGUUAUCAAUAGAUAGGAUAACUGCUAAUUUUGAGAUACUUGAAUCUCAAUUUUAUAAGAAAUAAAGUAUUUGAAUCUUAUUAAUUACCCAAGUAUUUUUAAAAAUUACUACCUUAACCCUAACACUAAUACAUCACACUUAUCUUAUAAAUAUCCUAAGGGAUUUUUUUUAAACCCUUAUAAAUAACGUGUUUUUGUAAAUAACCGCCAGGAUACUUUUAACUAUUUUUAGCCAUCAAAAAAGAUUUUGGGAUAAAAAUGCCCUUAAUGAGCCGUCUUCGUUAGCGUACACUCUCAAACAGGCGAAAAAUGGGAGAAAAAAAAAUAAAUAUGCAAAGAUUGGUUGUGCAAAAUACCCAAAUUUUGUUUUCGAAGGUUGUGCAAAACAAAAUAAUGUUGCAUGAGAUGGGUUUUCAAAAAUUAGGGACAUGGUAUUCAGAUAAUAGGAGAAGAGAGAUAUUAAAUCGAACGAGGAACAGGUCGUCAUGAAUGGAAAGCUUGGCUAAUGAUGUGAAACCAGAAAUCCUUGAUACGGUGGUGAAUUGAAAGGAGAAAGAUGUGAAUCCAAAGCAGGAAAUGGCCCCGCUAUAGCAGGCCAUAUGUUAGAUGGUUAUCGCAGGGCAGGGUUUAGAGUUUGUGAAACGUCAUGUUGAGAAUGUGUGAGACGGCACCGCUCAGAGUUGGUGAGACGCCAUGGAGGGAAUCUGUAAGACGCCAAAGUUAAGAGUUGGUGACACGCCAUGGUGGGAAUGUGUGACACGGCAACGUUGAGAGUUGGUGAGACGCCAUGGAGGGAAUCUGUGACACGCCAAAUUAAGAGUUGGUGACACGACACGGAGGGAAUCUGUGACACGCCAGCGUUCAGGGUUGGUGAGACUCCAUGGAUUGAAUCUGUUAGACGUUAGAGUUCAGAGUUGGUGACACGCCAUGGUUUGAAAUAGAGAGAGAAAAAAAAACAGACAGUUAACGUGGUAAUCCUUUGGACUUUCACUGUAUCAAUUUCCCUUUUUCAGAAUAAAGAAUGUCAUUUUUCAUUUUAAAUAGUUAUUAUUUAGAAUUCGUAACGUUUGUGUGAUUCAUUUCUCAUUCCCACCGGUACCGAAGUGUUCGAGAAGGCUCUUUGCAAGCGGAACGAAACCACAGCACCAGCAAAAAUGUCGACCAUGAAUGAAGAGGUUAGUGGGUCUCAAAUUCGUAAUAUUCCUGUGUUUGUUAAUUUUUUGGUUUUUUUCUGGGUCUGUUUGAUAUGUUUGAGUUUUUGGUUUUGUUUUGCAAAUGUUUAGACUGUGUUUUCUUACUGGUUUGAUGGUUGUUGUGGUUAAGCUGCAGUGGUUUUAGCGGUUUUGGGUGUUUACCGUGUGACGCCAUUGUUAUUAUAGUUAGUUAUUAGCGUGUGACAGCAUUUUACUUGAUAUGCAUAGUGUGUGACAGCAUUUUACUUGAUAUGCAUGUCGUGUCACAAAAUUUAACUUAUUAUGCAUGGCGUUUGACAGUAUUUUACUUGAUAUGCAUGUCGUGUCAUAGAAUUUUACUUGAUAUGCAUCUCGUGUCAUAGAAUUUUACUUGUUAUGCAUGACGUUUGACAACAUUUUACUUGUUAUGCAUGGCGUUUGACAGCAUUUUACUUGAUAUACAUGACGUGUCAUAACCUUUAACUUGAUAUGCAUGGCAUGUCACAACGUUUAACUUGUUAUGCAUGGCGUAUCAUAACAUUUUACUCGUUAUACAUGGCGUGUCACAACAUUUUGAUUGCAAUGCAUGGCGUGUCACAACAUUUAUUCUUUAUUUAUGUCUUCAGUGUACCUUGUUGCACAUGACUGCUUAACUCACUGGUGUAUGUGUGCCAUAUUUUACAGAUCCAGCACAGACAGUAUGAGGAUCUUGACAGUUUGCUGAUCGUGUCGAAGGAGAAGUGGGCGUUCAAUGUCUCAAUUAUUACUCACUGUAAGUGGUCGCAGCUGCAUUACAUCAUAAAGACUCUCUAACAAAAUGGGGAGUAUGAUCUAGUUAAGCGUACCUGCUUCGGAAUGCUCUUGGACAUCUAUCCACAGGGGUACUUUUACGUCGGUCUCUUGCACAGCAUCAUGAUUCGUCGGAUCAUUGAGAGGCAGUCAAUGGACCACGAGCUAUGGUUUGCCAUUGGCAAGAGCAAGGCGCAGCUAUCAAAGUAAGAGUUCUGCCUCAUCACUGGGCUGAAGUUUGGUCCAAUGCCUGAUGUGUCAGACGACCGUACAAGGUAGUUACGGAUGGAAUUCAUGCAAGAUACUAGAACGGGAAAGGCAGCGUUAAGCUGCAGGCUUUGCUUGAUACCUUUCGCGAGGGCAACUUUCAGCGACCAAGAUGGCACUCAUCUUGAUCGCGAAUAACAUUUUAUUUGGUAAAGACUAACGUAGAUGGGUGACGCCUUGGUUGCUGUCAUUGGUGGAUGACAUCGACGCUUGGAAUGUCUUCCUAUGGGGGCACUAUGUUUGGAAGCUGACCUUGGACUACCUUUUGAAGGGGUUCGAAGUUCCUGACUUGAGCGUGCUAAAGGAAACUCGGUUACACUACAACAUUUACGGAUUCGCAUGGGUGAUAUAGGUACUAAAACAUAACAUUUUUCAGUUUCUUUUUGGACAAAAAAUUUAUGGGUGCAGUCGUUUAUAAUUGACGGUCUGAUAAGGGUUACAUUUGACAUGCGGUUCUGGGCAAUGGAGGCAAUUUCGGCCCUCCGAAAAAUAGUUACCCCCUCUGGUUCGAAGGACAACGUCCACCCAUGAAUGUGCAGAUGAGAUUGCAAUCAGAAGCCAAAAGACUUCUACAAGACAAUUCAGAAGUUAGAGUCAUCUGACAAAGUGAGUAAACAGCUGCUAAUUUUUGCGUUAUAUUUGUAAAAUAAUUUUCCCUAUUCGAUAAUGACAACAUUCUAUUUGUUUAUUUAUAGUUGUGGGCACUGGAGACUUUGGAACCCACCACAGAUAAGGCCCUCUGGGAGUAUUUUGAGGACCUUGAUGUCCCGUUAUCGGAGGGUAAUGAGUACGUGCCAAUAGGGCAUAUGGAGGAUCGGUCAGAUUGGGGCUUAGGUGCGAGGCAAAAAAAGAGAAGAUUGAAGGAGAAAAGAGCCUCUGGUGGCACGAAGCGGAUGCGCACAGUCGCUGCUUUAGUUGAUGAGUUGAUGGAUGAAGGGGACGACCAUGGUCAAGGCAAUGAACAGCUGGUAAAGACAAUUGUAACAGUUUUGUUUCUCCAAUUCCAUUUGUGAUUAUCGAAUAACAUUUCUAUGUUUGCAGCUGGACCAUGGGCCGGUAACUCCAGAACCACCCACCGGUCCUCCUCAGAUGCAGAGUGGAAACUACCCGUCGAUAAGAUCGAUUCUAACAGUUUGUAUUCUACAUUCCCACAUAUGUUUAUAGAGUAACACAGUAAUUUAUGUAAUUACAGUUUACGAAAACGAGGACAGGUCCUCAAGCACCAAUCAGUCCAGCCCAAUCGCAGACAGCUAACGAGCAGGCGGUAAGGAUAUUAAAGUUGUAACGGUUAAUGUUCAACAAUUCCAAACAUGAUUAUUGAAUAACACAGUUAUAUAUGUAAUUGCAGUUUACGGAAGCGAUGACAGGUCCUGAAGCACCGAUCAGUCCGGCUCCACCGCAAACUACUAAUGAACCGACGGUAAAGAUAUUAAAGUUGUAACAGUUAAUGUUCAACAAUUUCAUACAUGAUUAUUGAAUAACACAGUUAAAUAUGUAAUUACAGUAUGCGAAAGUGACGACAGGUCUUGAAGCACCGAUCGGUCCGACUCCACCGCAGAUUGCUAUUCAUGGUGUGUCACAACGUUUGAUUUUGAUAUGCAUGGCGUGUCAAAACAUUUUGCUUAUUAUCCUUGGCGUGUCACCAAGUUUAUCUUGUUAUGCAUGGCGUGUCAGAACAUUUUGCUUGUUAUCCUUGGCGUGUCACCAAGUUUAUCUUGUUAUGCAUGGCGUGUCAGAACAUUUUGCUUGUUAUCCUUGGCGUGUCACCAAGUUUAUCUUGUUAUGCAUGGCGUGUCACAACAUUUUAAUUGUUUUGCAUGACGUGUCACGACAUUUUCCUCGUUAUCCUUGGCGUGUCACCAAGUUUAUCUUGUUAUGCAUGACGUGUUACAACCUUUUAUAAUUUAUGGGUUGUGGUAUUUUAUGAGCUCCCUAAUGAUUUUUUCAAUUUUGUAGGGCGAUCCAUCUCACAGUGCUGGUCUGGAGCACGAUGAUGCUGAUAAUGGAUAGUAUCAUGAACCUGGUGUUGACAUUGACAAUGACGUUCUUGGUGCUGAUGGAGAGCACGUAACUCAUGUAGAUGACGUUGUCGAAGAAGCUGUGGUAGUGGAUGUCACCCUUCAGUCAGAUGAUGUUGAAAGAGAGCAUCUUCCUCCGGCCGAAGCAUUCGUCAACACAGCAGCAGGAGCUAUGGUUUUUUAUCGUGAGAGCACUCUUGAUGUAGUUGAGAUACGGUCGUCAUCACCAAAGUCAUCUGCUGUCCAUCAUGGUGCAACAGAAAUUUCAGACCCAACUAAGCGGCAUGACUGAAAAUGGCGAGCAAAUACAUGGCAAACCCAUUCGUCGACCCCUUAGUGACCCGUCUAGAUGUGAGGGAUAAAAUCGUAGAAGACUACGAAGCUUUCAAGAAAGAGGAGUCUGCGACGUAAGCUCGUAAAUAAAAUUGCAAAUAUUAUUUUUUAAUGAAACAGUUAUCCACCAAGACUUAUGAAAUUAAUUAUGUUACAUAUGCAGGCGUAAUGUCGGCAUCUUAGGGGAUCAAUGGGCUGACUUUUUCAUAACCUUAGAGGAUCCCAAUGAGGAAAUGACAAGUGAACAUAUCUACGCAUGCCUCAGCCUACUCUGCAAGCGAAUGACAGGGCCGAAGUCAAAGCUAUACAUUACCCGUGCAUGCAUGGUUGACACGAUAUUCUUCGUAAGUUUAUUUGAAAAUUGUUAAAUUCUACAAAUACUAAGUUUUUGAUUGCAUGAAGUGUAAGCUAAUGUUUACAUCUUUCACAGGACACCAUUCGUAUGCUACACACCGAAUUUCCAACAGAAGAUGCCCGAGCCAAAAUGCAAAUUCCAGAUGAGUUGCGGGGCUAUGUGGAGGGUGAAAGGCCAACGUACGCCAAAAAAUGGGAAGAUGUUGAUUUCAUUCUCGCGCCUUGCAACGUUGGUGGGCAUUGGGUGGUUGCGAAGAUCGACUUGGUGCGGUGGACGAUCAAGGUCGUGGACUCAACAAUAACUUCAGAUGCUAAGGAUAACGGAGUUCAUGCGGGUCAGAUGACACCCUUGACGACAAUGAUGUCAUUCAUUUGACACUCAGCCAGUUAUUUCAACAACAUACGUCAGAAAAGAUGGGAUUUGACGCUGAUGCUAUUAGAUAUUCAUUUGCCAAAAGCUAAAGUGCAUCGACAGAAUGAUAGUGUCAGCUGCGAUAUGUUCAUGAUAGGGUACAUCGAGCAUAUUUUGCAAUAAAAAAAGAUCGAAAUUAAGUAGAAUAUGAUUGCAAAAAUGCGUCGGCAAUAUGCUCUGAAAAUUUUUUUCAACAGUUGUGAGAGCAAACCCUGAACAUAUAGGCCCUUGUCUGUACAAUUUUUUUGGUACACAUAAAUUUUUUUAUACAAUUCAUUUUAUACACAUUUUUUGUAUACACAAUUUAUUGUAUACAAUUCAUUGUAAACAAAUAUAAUCCUUUAUGUAUACACAAUAUACUUUGUACAAUUAUUUGAUACACAAUUAAUUUUUUUGCCUAUACACAAUUAAUUUGAUACCAAGAAUUUUUUUCCUUUUCUAUAUACAAUAUAUUUAAUUUCAUACACAGUCGAAAAAAGUCAACGUGUGACGCCUUAAACAUGAUACCAGUCAGCGUGUCCCAACAUACAUCUACUUGCACUCAGUGUGUCACCCCAAAUUUCUGCAAUAAGUCAGCGUGUGACGUCGCUAAUCCACUAACACUCGGCAUGUCAACCGAGUAAUCUGCUUCCACUCAGUGUGUCAGAACAAUUGGGCCAUGGCGUGUUAUGCCAUAAAUCUCCAGAUACUCAACGUGUGACACCAUUAAUCUGCUUUUAGUCGACGUGUCAUAAGAAUUGGGCCGUCGCGUGUCACCCCAGUUUGGCAUUAAUUAAUUUUCAGGUUCGUCGUAUUUCUCUUCCAAGCACACCGGAUGCACUAACCCAACAUUACAUUGAUUAACAUUGAAUAUAUAGAUUUUUCCAUCCAUCUAAUUACUUCUAGCAUGAAAUUGUUCUGUAUCCAUCCUCCUUUUUUUUUCCAAUUAUUUUCAGGCCAAAAUUCUAUCCUGCCAUUAUAAAAUCGUACGUCUAAAUUUACACACCAGAACUUGUUAUGCAUGACGGGUCAGAACAAUUUAAUUGUUAUGCAUGGCGUGUUAUAACAUUUAACUUGUUAUGCAUGGCAUGUCACAACCUUUUUACUUGUUAUGCAUGGCGUGUCAGAACAUGUUGUUCAUUAUCCUUGGCGUGUCACUAAGUUUAUCUUGUUAUGCAUGGCGUGUCACAACCUUUUACUUGUUAUGCAUGGUGUGUCAAAACAUUUUGCUCGUUAUCCUUGACGUGUCACCAAGUUUAUCUUGUUAUGCAUGGCAUGUCACAACAUUUUACUUGUUAUGCAUGGCGUGUCAUUUCAUUUUUCUUGUUAUAAAUGGCGUAUUACAAUAUUUUAUUUGAUAUGCACGAUGUGUCACAACAUUUUACUUGUUAUGCAUGACGUGUCUCACAUUUAUUCCUUAUUUAUUUCUUCUAUAUACCUUGUUGCACAUUAUGGCUUAACUCACUGGUGCAUCUGUACCAUGUUUUGUAGAUCCAACGCAUAUAAUAUGAAGAUUUUGACAUUUUGUCUGCUCGGUCAUUCUAUGAGGCCCUUUUAGUUACGGACUUUGUUGCCAAACAUUUCAGGCAGAUAAGCAAAUACAUGGCUCCUGUCUGAUGGAGAUUGUAAUCGGAAACAUUUUUACGAACAAUGUAAGAAUGUACUUUAACACGAUCUUGAUCAGACAGAGGCCUUGACAUGCUUAUCUGCCUGAAAUGUUUGGCAACAAAGUCCGUAACUAAAAGUGCAUCAUAAAAUGAUCAAGCAAACAAAUCCGUAAAGCAAAACGAAUUCAAUUACAAUUUUCAGACACAUUUAGUUAGGCGGUCAAGCUGUCUUCAUUCACAACACACCUUAUAUUUUCAGAUAUUGUCCUUCAUAUUGGACAGUUGUUGCGUGAGUGACCAGUUUGUCUACAACUUGUACAUGUUUUGGGUCGGUGUAGUCGUGGAGUCGCUGAUUGACUUAGAGAUGGUGCUAGAUUUGUGGAUGGAACUGCAAAUGGGUAUGGGUAAUUUUGUCUGUUAUGCCCGUACCUCUUGUAUUGUGAACAUCUUCGUGCUCGACUACCUUCACUAGCUGAUGAAAUCCUUCUCCUCCUAGGUCUUCCUGUUUGACCUCGCCAAGGUGGGGGCAAGACUACAAUUUGUUUCACAUGAGGGGGGAUGUCCCACUCACUAGGAUGCCCUACCGACCUAAUGGAUCCUGAAUAACCCUUCACGAAAACGGUUGUCUUGUAGUAGCCAGCGCAUAAUUCAAUGGCUUCAUGAUUGUAUUUACUGAAAAACAUUAACAACUCAAUCUUCAAGCACAAUGUAAAUGCUAUGUCAAUUACGGUUCAAAUAAGAAAUAAAGAUAUUCUGACCUUAUUGCUGCAAUGGCAUGGCUGCAUGGUAGUAAAUCUGUUUGGAACUCACAACAUGAACACGUCUUCCUAGACAGGUUUACAAGUCCGUCCAUCUUCCCGUCUUUAACUUCGAACUCCACUCUAUUGAUAGGCUUAACUAAAAAGCGAUGUGCAUCAUUGAACCUUUUACUCAACUGAUUGGCAACCCAAGGGCUGAGGGGCGUGGUCACCUUGAUGGCCUCCUCAUACCAUUCAUGGAACCAACGCUAGAAUAUGUCUCUGAUGAACUCGAUCAAAAUAGUGAUUGGCAUUUGUCUUGCAUGCUUCAAGCAUGAGUUAACAUAUUCCGCAAUGUUGGAUGUCAUCAUUUGGUAUCGUCUUGCCGGUGAAAAUGCACGUGCCCAUUUCUCAUGCCCUAUUCUUAUAAGGUCCGCGUGGGCUCCCAAGUGAAUCUGCUGUAUCUAGUUCAUAUGCUUGUUGAAAUCGGCCACCUUAUAGCAAUCUCGAGCAAGGGUGAAAAGCAUACAAACAUCGUCGCUCUUGAACUUGUUUUUAAAGUUUUUUUUCAAGUGGUAAUCGCAUAAACCAUGGUGCGCUUCUGGGAAUGCAUUUUGGAUUGUUUUCUUAAUGCCGAGAUGCUGAUCAGAAAUGAACAUAGUGUUUUCAAGACAACCAACCGCAUCACGCAGCUUUCUAAGAAACCACGUCCACGAGUCUUCGUCCUCAAUAUGGCCGAUGCCAAACGCAAUUGGAUAUACGCACUCGUUCGCAUCUUUGCAUACAGCGACAAACAGAACACCUUUGAACCUACCUUUCAGAUGUGUCGCAUCAAUUGCAAUCGUAGGACGCAUUACAUCCCUAAACCCCCGAAUACAAGCCUCGUAUGACCAUAAACAAUAUUUGAAUCUUUUUUCCUCAUCAGUAGCCACUGCAGUCACUAUGCCAGGAUUUUUUUGUUCUACCAUAUAAAAAUACGAUGGUAGUAGCUGAAAUGACUCCUCCGAUGGAUCGAAAACAAGCCUCUCCGCAUACUCUUUCACUUGCCAAGCCUUACCAUACAAGCAUUCCAAUCCCCACUGAACCCUCAUAUCACAAAUUAUGUCUUUAGGUCUCAAUGCUACUCCAUUAGCCCGAAUCUUGUGUGACAUAAGUUCACUAAUCAUCUUCGCACUCGUAGUUGGAAACCACCCUUGCAAACCAUCAACGGUACAGGUGUGUACUUUGUGGAAUUUUUGAACUUUCAAAUAUUCUCCUCUAUCAAGUAACUUCGUUGCACGAACACUGAACUUGCAUGCCUUAUCCUUGCAACCAACCUCAUAACGAGCUUUACAUGACCUUUUUACUCUUAUCGCAAACUUCUCUUUUAUAGCCAACAUGUUCAAAGCUCAUUUCAACUCAGUCUUUGACGAAAACAUUCUUCCUUUGUAUAAGCGAUCUUCGGCACAUGUCGACUCCUCAGUGGUAAUUGUUUGGAAGGAGAACCUUUCUGCACCUGCAAUUACCCACGUACGAGAUAUCCUUGCAUUUCCCCUUUCCUGAUCACUGUCAUCGAGCAAUGUAUCAAGGGAAUGAAUCUCGUUCUCACCAGCAAUAGGGUUAUUGUAUAUGGGGUCAUCACACUGAACAUCUCAUACAUCAACACCUCCAACAGGUUUCGUUUCACCUUCAACAUUAUUACAAAUUGGAAUGUCACUGUCAUAAAGGCAGUCAUCGUCUGAACUGUCAUCUUGUGAUUGUUCAAGCCCAUCAUCUGAAAUGUGAUCAAAUCUAUCUUCACCGGUAGCGAACAAAUCCUCAUUUCCCUCAUCAAAUGCAGUAUUAUACUCCAGCGUCGUAAUGUCACCCUCCAACCUCACAUUGUUGUCCUCAACUGUCGUAUUCUCAUUUGACAAUGGCAUUACACAUUUUACAGUUUCACCCGAUCGUUGCAUUUUUUCAAGAGAAGCAAGAAAUUGGUUUGAUGCACAUCCUAAUCGAAAUUGUGCAGCCAACUAUUUUGUGAAUGUCGUCUGUCUACUGGGGCUGCACAAACUCUUGUGCGUACCUCAAUUGCCAUUGUUGUGGGUUACGGACUGAAUGUUGUGGUAUACGUGAAGCAUUGUAAAUCUCAUUUUGAUUGAGCUGAUUACCAUGUUGUCCAACUUCUCCAUGUGACAAGACAUUUGUUUGGCGUCCCUUAAUGCUGACAUACACAACCGAAACAUUUCUUUGUUCUAGCAAAAUUAAUGCAACAUCCUCAUCGUCCUUGAUAAUUGGCCGUAAUAGCUCUCCGGGUGUACUGAUCAAUGCAUGUAACUCAAUCUCGUCAAUUUUUGAGUUUACCCUAACAACAUCUUCAACCAGCUUCAUCAAGCCCACAAACGACAAAUCACUCCUAACCCCCCGCAUUCGUGACUCACCACCCUUCUAAAUGCCAUCCACCCACUAACCACCGUGUUUUAUCACAAGUCGCACAAUUGAAACCCCACUGAAUUUAAAAAAAAAUUGUCAAUCAUUUUACACAAUACAUGUCGUGAUAAAAAAUUUAUCAGUCGUGUUGUUACACGCCAUGCAAAUAACGUAAAAUGUUGUAACACGCCAUGCAUAUCAAGUCAAAUGUCGUGACACGCCAUGAAUCAGUAUCGUUACAUGCCAUGCAUCACUGUUGUGACACUACAAUCACUGUAAUUACUAACUGGUUACACCAACAUCCGUAACACGUUAAAAACCUAAAAAACCAGUUAACCCACGACACACCAGGAACAACCAUGACACGUCAAAAACCUAUAAAUUCAGUUAACCCACCACACCCUAAGAACAACCGUGACACGCUAACAACCCAAAUAACUAGUUAACCCACAACACGCCAGUAACAACCGUGACACGCUAAAAUAACAGUUCACUUAUGUUAUAGAUGCAUGGCGUGUAACAAUUCUGGGCAAUGUUUCUAAUCCAUCUUAUCAUUUACACUAAAUGUUUCAGAAAUUUAAGUGUGUUGCAGAAAUAAACCCAAUAACAGGUACCUUGAUGUCAUCUCUACUAUAGGGUGUGUUAAUCUACGACAAUGUCGUCAGAUACCGAGAGAUAGACCACAGCCCGAUGACAAUGGUGCUCAACAGAGAGUUGACAGAGCUCAUACAGUUCAGAGAUCUGAGAGAGCUGACAACGAUGGUGCUCAACAGAGACUUGCCAGAGUUGAGACAGAGAAAGAUGAUCGAGCCCAAACAGCUGCGCGUAUUUAUUUUUAAUGUUUUUCAUUUUCUCUCUGGCAGGAGGCAGAUGGCUCAAACAGCUGAGCAUUUAUUUGAAAUGAUGUUUUUAAGGGCAUUUUGGUCUACUCAUGUUUAUUUUUGGGUAGAAACAGACAACUUUAUAUGGGCGGUUAUUUAUGAAAUCACCUUAUCACGAGGUCCUUCUCUCACAAUUUUCUCAUUAUCCUAACUCGUUUAAAAACUCGAUUAUGUAAAAAAAUUAUUAAAAUGCUCUUCAUGGGUACCAGCACUCGAGUAUUUGACUCAUUGGUUGGUGCAUUAUCCCUCUAUUUAGAGAGUUGAGUUUGAAUUCCCCUUCCCUCAAUUAUAAAAAAAAAAUGCUAUUCAUGGGUAUCCCAUCACUCGAAUCCAAAUCCGUACUUAUAUCUAUAUACAAUAAUAUUUCUCCCACAUGUUUCAUAUAAUUUACUAAUUAUUAAAUUAAUAAAAACACACAAAUAAUAAAAUUUAAAUUUAAAUAAUUAAAAACAAAUAUCUCAAAUAUAAUUAAUAAUUUUAUAAGUUAUAAGUUUUGUAAUGUUAAUAAAAAAUAGAAACUAAAUAUGUUUAUAUUUAAAGUGUAUACAUACUAAAAGUAUUUUAGUAUAUAUAUAAUGGUAAGUAUAUUUCUUAUAAAUAAACCUAAUGUAUAAAAAGUAUAUAUAUUAAAAGACAUUACAAGUUAAUAAAUAAUCUAAGUUUCAUUAAUUAAUUUAAUUAAUUAUAUGAAUUUGUCCUUAAUUACAUAAAAUUAAAAAAAUAACUAAGUUUCAAAUCUCACAACUUUUCUUUAGAUUUAUAUAUUAUAAGUGUAUAUAAACAAAUGUAUAUAUAUUGUAAUUAAUAAUUUUAUAAUUUAUAUAUUUUUGUAAUGUUAACACAAAAUAGAGAGUAAAUAUGUUUAUAUUUAAAGUACAUACAUAUAUACUAAAAGUAUUUUAAUAUAUAUAACAGUAAUUAUAUUCCUUAUAAAUGAACUUAAUAUAUAUAAAGUAUAUAUAUUAAAAGACAUUAUAUGUUAAUUAAUAAUUAUAGUUUCAUGAAUUAAUUUAAUUAAUUAUAUAAGUUUGUCCUGAAUUACAGGAAAUUAAAAAAAAUAGCUAGGUUUUAAAACUAUUCAAAUUUCACAAUUUCUCUUUAGAUUUAUAUAUUAUAAGUAUAUAGAAAUAAAGGUAUGUAUAUUAUAAUUAAUAAUUUUAUAAAUUAUAAUUUUUUUAAUAUUAACACAAAAUAGAAAAUAAAUAUGUUUGUAUUUAAAAUAUAUAUUAAAAUAUUUUAAUAUAUAUAAUAGUAAUUAUAUUUCUUAUAAAUUAACAUAAUAUAUAAACUAUAUAUAUUAAAAGAUAUUACAAGUUAAUUAAUAAUCAUAUUUUUAAAAUGGCUAAAGGAACAUUGUUCGUACAUUGCAGUCUGGCUAUCAAAAGUCUCAUUGUCGAUCAAUUUCUGAAAUUUCUUUUGGUUCAUGAUUGUGCUUUUUUUAAUGGUCAGGAAAAUUCUAAAUACCCUGUACCAUCUGAUAAUGCAUGUGAAUAUACAGCUUGAACUUGAAACCCUUGGAAUAUAUCAGAUAAAAACAAUAUAAAAACUAGCAUUAAAAGUCUGACAGUGGGAGUUUCCUUUUCAUUGAUGCCCCAUUUUUCCCCCCAAUUCUGUUAAGGGUGAUACUUUUGGUUGAUACCUGCUCUUAUCCACCUUAAGAUUCUCACAAAAACUUUUCUUUUUUCUUUUGACGUGCCACUAAAAGUGCAUAGGUGACGAUUGUGUUCAUAAUUGGGCAGCAUUUCGGGCUGGAACAAAGAAUGAAAACAUUGAGUGGUGCAUAGAGCCCCUGGCCUGGGAUUUAGUGAUACUUACAAAGUAGGUGAGUUGACAACACUAAUUUGUACACAAAGAAAUGCUGUUUUUUUGCUGGUGGUUCAUUUGGGUACAGAGAUGGGUCAUAACAGAUUGCUCUAUUUGACAGUUGUCUUUAUUCUUUUGGAUGGGGACAUGGAACAUGUGCAUGCAGUCACAAGCAACUACUGAUCUGCUGGAGAGAAUAAGUGAUCCUGCAAAUUUUUAGCUUAGGAGAUAGAUGUAUACAAAGAGUGCUAAUAAUCCGUACAGAUUGUCCUAUUAGCCUGGCAAAUUUCUCUCUGUAAAUUAAUAUAAAGUUUUCAUAGGAUAAGAUGAUGAAAAUAAAGAUAAUAUGAUGAAAAUAAAAUAAUCUGAUACAAGUAUGUAAUCCAAAGAAGCCCCAGAAAAUGUCAACCUUUGGAUGCUAUCCAUAAAUGGAACAAAAAACUUAACAAACAAUUCAACCUUGCCAUGAAUCUGUGAUCUGCAAACCCAUGUUAGCUUGAAGAUUCAUGGGAAAUAGACAGGUUUCUUCUCCUCAAUUCGUUCAAUUUUGCAAUAUGCAUUGUGAAGUUCUUCUUAUGUUUGCUUGUCUACAACAUGUCCAGAUUUGAAGCUGAGUUCAGUGCAAUCGCAGACCCAGAGAUGAAUCUUUUUCCAUUUAUGGAGAUUAGGGAAUUCCAUCGGUGUAGAAAAGAUGCUAUGGUGUCAAUUGAGCUUGAUGAAUUAUGGCUAGACCGACAUAAAUCAAACUUUGGAGAAUGAUUACAAAUAGAUGAUCAUAUACCCUUUAAUUUUUUUUUAAAAAAUAUAAAGACAAAUUAAAUAACACAAACUUAAUUAUUCCUUCCAUUUUAUGAAAAAAAAAGAAUAUUGUUACCAUAGAAAAAGCUAUGCUACCUAUUCUUCUAUGACAAAAAUUACUAUGACAAUUCGUAACCGAACUUCAAUAAUUGAUGCAUCUAUUUUUUAUUUUAAAAAAAUAAAUUCAAAUUUUUUUAGAUAAUAAAAAAAAUUAUAGAGAAAUUUGAAUUUUCAUUUGUUGAACAUUUGAAUGAAAUUUCAGAUUAAAUAAAGUACAAUAACUAUUACUGUCGAAAUAAAUCAAAACUUGAUAGAUUCACGAGAUGUGAAAUAAAUAGAUACUUUUAUUUAUAUGGGCAUUUUAAAAAGUAGUCCUUAAAGAUAAGAUAUUUUUAAAAAUGACACUCUUUAUAGUUUUAACUAUUUUUAGCUAAGUUUGACAAAAUUACCCUUAAUGAAGUUACACGCUAUGAUGUUACACGUACAAAAAUCUAUAACAAGCCAUGGUUAGCAUGUUACACGCUAUGUACAAAAAUCUAUGACACGUCAUGUACAAAAACCUGUGAUAAGCCAUGGUUAGCGUGUGACACGCCAUGUACAAAAACAUGUGACACACUUGUACAAAAACCUGUGACAAGUCAUGAUUAGCGUGUGAAAUGCCAUGUACAAAAGCCUGUGACAAGCCAUGGUUAGUGUGUUACACGCCAUGUACCAAAGCCUAUGACAAGUCAUGGUUAGCGUGUGACACGCCAUAUACAAAAGCUUGUGAUAAACCAUGUACAAAAACCUGUGAAACUUCAAAUCCUUUCAAUAUUUUUUUUUAUUUUUUUUUUACAAUUUGGCAUAAAUUAAAGUGUUUCUAACAUGUUUUCAUAAAUCAAAAUACAAAUGUUUUUUUAUCUAAAGCACCCACUUUGACUAAAAAAAAAAAAAAUCUUUGAAAACCUAGAUUUAUAAAUUUCAAAAUUUUGAGUUUAUUGAUAUCUAGGUCAUUAAUUGAUUCAAUUAAAAACUAUUUUAUACAUUUGUGAUUAUUUCUACCGUUUUAGUUUUAUUCAAAAUACCUAAAAAUCGAAUUUUUCAAACAGCCACCCAUCCAAGCAUAUCAAAACCAUUGCUUGGUGUCUUGAAAGCAUAAAAAAAAGAAAUCUGAAAACGUGAGAGAGAGAAAUCGUAAGCAUAGCAAACGAAUACCGAACAGAAAAAUCGAUAAAAUUUGAGAGACUGAGAUGGUGAGAGAGAAAUCUGAAGCACAAAUGGGGAGAAAUUGUGAUAAAUGGUUUAAUUUAUUUGAAAUAGUUUAAAGGGUAUUUUCGUCAAAUCAUGACUAAAUAUGGCUAAAAAUAGUUACAUUUAUUUUGAUAGUUACUUUAAAAUAUUUUUAUCAAAAAAUGUCAUUUUCCAUAAUUUUCUCUUAUUUAUAUAUAGAACAUACAAAAUUACACACUUUAUUUACUUAUCAUACAAACUUAAUUUUACAUCACUUAGGAAGACAAACUCACAAAUACUAGUAUUGAUUUGGUACAAAACUAUUUUUUAUUUUUUAUUUUUCCAAGAUUUUUUUUUCUAUUUUUAAUCUUAUCAUGAGAAACCGGCAAAUCUUGGAUACAUACCCUACGUCCACAUCCCGUAAAUAUAUAUACAUAGCUUGAGUUCUAGAUUAUUCAGGCUCCCACCUUCUAGGAGUUGAGAGUGAAAGCCAUCCACCUAAGGCUUUGCUUGCUGGGUCUGGUCUUUCGGGGGCUCUGCUGUCUUGUUCCUAGGUCCGACAAAUGCCUGGAUCAAGCAUGGAGGCUCAGGUUUCCUGUUUACCAACUUAACCAACAGCUGGAUCAAGCACCGCAAAAUUAAAGGCGCAGCAGCUGUGAUCAAGGCGAGUUGAAAUUUGUCUCCAUCCCGGGUAACAGCAAAGAUUGCAGAUCCAUAAGUUAUAAUCAUUGAAACGCAGGCAACCCUUACUUCAAACUUGAAAGGAAAAGUAUGCGUGAGAGACAUAAUGAGAAGUACCGCUGCAGAAAAGGCUAGGGUGUUGGAAGUCAAGAAAACGUAGUAGGCAUCUGAGUCAGAUGAACAGAUAGCAAUGCCUGCUUUAUGGCCAUUCUUGGUUUCCUGCCAUACACCACCAGGGGGGUUAACCCCAGCUUGGAAGGUCACGGCAGCUAUAAGGGUCGCAACUACCAAGAGAGCGUUGCGGGCGUCGGCUCUAUUCUUAUCCCUGUCCUCCUCGUUUGCACCUUCCUUGUACUGAAAAUAACGACACCAGUCCUUGAAAGUAGUCCCAACCAUUGUUUUCUCUUGGGUUUUGAACUACAAACAGGAUUCAAGAAUUGAAGAAGCUUUUUGUUUAUGGGGAUAUGAAGAAAAACAAAGUAGUAGAUGGAUUUCUCCAGAAAAGCUUGGGGUUUGGCUGAGUCUUAAUUCAGCUUUUUAUAGUUCGCAACAGCAUCAAUCCCGUGACAAAUAUGAAGACAAUUCACUGUUCUUUUUCUAUAUUUGCAUGAUUAUGUUUGGACAAAAUGAGAAGUAGAUUCCUAUCUCAUCUUUGGACGUCAAUAAUUUAGAUUUUUUCAACCUUGUCAAUGUUGUUAAUUAGGACAAAAACCUGAUAGGCACUUCCACUUUCACUGCCAAGAUAUGUCUGUAUGAUUUGUAUUUCUCAAUUUUACACAGCAUUAUCUUCCCUCUUGGUCAGUGCAGGAAAGAAGAUUACAUAAUCAUGCAUUUCGAGUUUAUAUAAGUAUAUAUUUGAUAUUUUAAUAAGUCUUACUAUCCAAAAUUUCAGUAACACAAUAUUAUUGAAUACCCAUAAUUAAAGGGUUAUUUACAAAAUAUGUAUAAAAAUUAAAUAAUUAUAUGAUAUUUCGGUAAGUAAGUAUCUAAUCAUUAUUUUACGUAAUAAAGUAUCUAAUAUUUCAAUAAUUUUAUUUACUCAUGUUUUUCAUAUAAGUUAUUGAUAAAGCAUGUUUAUGGUGACUAAAUAAUAUAUGAAAAAUAAGAAAAAUAAUCAUUCAUUUCAAAGUUAGUAAAAAAAUUGAAAAAAGUUACGAAAAAUAAUCAUAUUUUUAAAAUUAAUGUUUUUGCUUUCCAAAAUUAUUUUAAAAGUUACAGAAAUCACAUAUUCUUAAAUUUUUACAUAAUGUUAUUCACAAAGAACAUAUUAUAAGCAGGUGGACUGAAAAUAAUGACAGGAGGGUAGCAGUCACUUUUAAUUUUUAAAUUUUAUUUCGAAAUCGAAUUAUUAACUUGAUAUAAAACUUUAUAAAAUUAUUUUUAAUUUUUUUUAAAUAAAAUUCUAAAUCGGUCAUCAAUUAUAAAUUUAAUAAAUCUCAUGUAAUUGAUUUCAAUUUUUGCUAGCGUGCAUGUGCAUAGUGGAAAUCUGGAUGACCUUGACUUAAAACGCCGGUCUUCAUAUCUAAAGCAUAGUUAUCCAUAAUCCAUAAGACGAGACAAAAGCCUUUUUGGAGUCACUGUUUUAUCAUGAGGACCAGCUGUGCUUAGUCCGACUUCGAAUUGCCGGGCCAUUUUUAGUUUGUUUCCAUUGAUGACGUGUUUGAGUUCAUGUCAGCCCAUGACCUCUCUUUCGAGGGCUUCAUCUGAAGUCAGCAUUGCAUUGCAUGAUGAGUUUUCUCAUGGAAGCCGCCGGGGACUGUUCUCAUUGACUGAGGUGUCUUUUCUUUAUCGUCCAGGUUGUCAUUUGAUUUAGUUUAAUGGUUGUUUUAAUAAUAUAGUUCAUUUUGCUGUCAAAAGAUGUCCUCAAUUAUGUUUCGCUUUUUGGAAAAAAGAAAUGAAAUCUACUGUGAUUUACUACCAUAGGCAUAUUUUAAUCUACUAUUAUUAGUCUUUAUUUGAGUUUAAAAUGUGUUUUUAUCAUUAUUUGUUCAAUUCUCGUUAGAAUAUAAGAUUGAAAAAUCAAAAAUAUAAGAAAAAAGUAUCAAUUAUAUAAUUAAUCAGAUAUAAAAUUUCUUUUAAUAAUAAUGAUAAUUUUAUUUAUAAUUGAAAAUAACAUGAUCAUAUAGUUAAUUUUACUGUCCUUAACAAAUCAGCUAUAGGCCCUUAUCAAUAUUACAAUUACAUUUUAACAUCAACAUCCAUUGCAAUCAAAAACUCAAGAGUGCUUUUCAUAAAUGGACUUGAGGCAUAAGACGUCUUUAAGAGUAGUCCUCUCUAUAAUUUUAUCUGUUUUUAGUCAAGAGAAAAAAAAUUAGAUAAAAUUAUCUUUAAUGAAAUCAACCCAUUCGCUAGGCUCCGUGCUUCAAUCCGAAACUUAUUAACGGGUCAAGUAUGUUUAGGUUUGCACCUUAAAUUGACUUAUAUUUUUUGAACUUUCCUUACUAGAUUAUUCAUCUCUGGUGUAUUUCUUACCAGAAAGAAAAACGUUUAAGCAUUUUGAAUAUUUUGGAGUAGUUUUUGAUACACAAAGAAAAUUUGUGAGCGUUUUGAACAUUUUUAUACAUUUUAGAGUGAUUUUUGAUAUAUGAAGAAAAACUUUCGAAUAUUUUGAGCAUUCAUAUUUGUUAAUUAUGUUGUUAAAUGAAAUAUGAUAUAUCGUUUGAAGUUGUUGAUCUUGUUAAAUGGAAUUCAGUAGUUUUGGUAUUUUUGAAAAUUAUGUGACUAGUUUUUAAGCAUUGCGUGACUGACUUUGGGCAUUACGUGACUGAUUUUUGAUAAGGCAUUGCGUAACUAGUUUCUGAUAAGACAUUGCGUGACUAGUUAAUAGACAUUGCGUUACUGAUUUUGGGCAUUGCGUGACUAGUUAAUAGGCAUUGCGUGAUUGAUUUUGGGCAUUGCGUGACUAGUUUUUUAUAAGGCAUUGCGUGACUAGUUUCUGAUAAGAUAUUGCAUGACUAGUUGAUGGGCAUUGCGUGAUUUUUUAGUAAGGCAUUGCUUAAAAAUCAGUCAUGCAAUGUAUAAAAACUAGUCAGGUAAUGCCUAAAACCAAUAAUGUAAUGACUAAAAACUAGUGACACGGUAAUUAAGUCACGUAAUACCUAAAAACCAGUAAACUCAAUUUUGAGAUUCUAUGAAUAAACCAACAAACUUAAGAACCUAAAACACUUUUUUUUUUUUUGCUAAGCCAUGAAAUUGUGAAUUUCAUAAAAGAUAGGUUACAAAAUUCCAUAACCCUCCAAAGCAAGAGAAAAUAUAUCCCUAUCGGGAGGUUUUGCUCACUCCCCUUAUACAAAAACAAAAUAUACCCUAUUUACAAAAUAUUUCCUAAACAAUUUCAACUCAAAAUCCCUAACAAACAUGCUUAACAAUCAUCCAAAUCCCAGACACAACAAAAUCGUGAAACACCAUAAAACUCAUCAAACAUGUUUUAGCUGUUCUUUCUCCCUGAGCAAAAUCGUUGUCUGCAAAAAGCAAAAUCGCUGUUCAUCGCCCUUAAAAACCCCGAGAUCCACCAUCCAAAAAAAUAAAACAAAAUAAAAAAGAGCUUGAUGUCAUAUUUGCGAAUUAGAUGACGAAAUAAAUAUAUUUGAGCAGAGAGAGAAAUCGAUAUUUAAUUUUAAAAUUUUUAUAUAGAUGGCAGGAGAGAGAAAACUGAAACCAUUUUAAUUUGUCUGAAAUUAUUUAAAGGGUAUUAUUGUCGAGUCAUAUCAAAAACUGACUUAAAAUUAUAGAGAUGGUUAUUUUUGAAGUCACAUUUCUAUGAAGGUCAUUUCUCACAAUUUUUUCAAAACUCAAAUAGUCCCCAAUAACCGGAUGCAAAAAAUUCAUAUAAAGAAGAACAACACUUACUUGAUUAAGAACCAAAUAAACUUCAAAGUUUUAAAAAUAAAGAACAAGUUAUUAUAUAUGUUGGCAAGAUAACAAUUACCAGAGGAGUAUAAUUCCGAGGUACUGAAUCAAUUCAUUGUACAAAGAGGAGCCACAUUCUAAAUUCCAUGUCGAUUUACGUUCGUCUCUAAUGCUUUCUCCUUGUAUCUGGACCAACUCUCCAUUUCUUGAGCAACCAUAUGGUAAACCGUGCAAACUCCACAAGAAAUAGAAUUCCCAUCACAGUGACCGUUAUAUAUAUAUCUCUCAUUUUCGUUGGACCUAUAUAGAUUAUAGCUACGACAUAAGUACCAAUCAUUGAAAACAUGGCCAGCCGCAAGCCUGCCCUGAAAGGGAAUCCACUGGUGAGGAGAAAGAUCAUGGCAACUGAUGCAAUGAAACCAAUUGAAUUAAAACCGAUGAACACAGAAAAGAUUGGAGGGUUUUUACUCAUGACAGCCUCUCCAGGCGACAUGGUUCUAGAUCUCUUCUGAACGGUGCUGACGGUCGGAUUGUUUUUAUUAUCUGAGUCUGACCAAAAACCACUUGGAGAGUUCAGAAUUGCUUGGUAUGUGAUCCUUGCUAUCAGGACUGCCACAAUCAUUAAUGAGUUUUUAGUUUCACUUGAUGAUUCCGUAACCUCUUUCAUCAGUUCCUUCCAUAGGUUCCAUGAAGAAGAAGAUAGCAAUUUUUGCUUAUUGUUAAAGUUUUCUGCUUCGGUUUGAACAUGUGCAGGGCCUGUUGUGCUUUCUCGGGCUUUCAAAGCUCCAGCUUGCUGAAAUAUCUGAUGAAUCUGAAUAUCAUAACAAUCACCUCCACUUUGGAGCAGAAGAUCUAGGACAUCCUUUGGCGUAAAGCCGCUUGAGUUUAUGGCAUUUACGUUAACGCCAGAAACAACUGCUUCUUGACCAAUUAACAGACCUAUAAUCUACAAACGAGUAAAUAUUCGUAAUUUACAACCUCUGGAACGAAUACCAACAACGCAAUCAGUGCAAUCUGAAUUUUUAGAAUAGCUAAGGAAUUAAACAGAGUUUAAUUAGAAUAACAUGCUUUAGACUCCACCAUGACCCAAACCAGGAUUUAGUAGCACAUCUGCUUGGACUUAUACUUCGAAUAUAAUAGAUUGAAAAAGAAGAAAAAAUAUAAUAGAUUGAAAAAGAAGAAAAACAAAUAAAUAAGAAAAGAUUAAGUAAUUAACUAGCAGGAAGAACUGCAAAACUUGCCUCAGGUUGUCUGUUGAAGGUCGCCUGAUGUAAUAUGGUGUUCCCAUCCUUUUCUUUCCAAAUCAAAAUUUCCAUCAUAUCUAACCUCCUUAUCUCCUCGAUCAGUACCCUUGCAGCCUCAAUCUGGUUACUCUUCACAGCCAAAUGGAGGGCAGUUUCACCAAAAGCAGUCAGUUCUUUAACAGACUCGGGGCAAGCCCAGACCUGUUCCUUAACAACAUCAACUCUGCCUUUCAAAGCCGCGCAAUGAAGUGGAACCUUACCAUCUUUUCCCUUCAAAAGACAUAUGUCAUAUCCAACUCUCAUAAGCUCUCUUAUAAUUUCAACGUGCCCUUUAGCCGAAGCGACAUGCAUCGGGCUAAAACCAUUUUCACUUAGCUCCCUAGCGAAUGCUGGCUUUCUGCUCACAAUUUCUUUUGUGAUUUCUGUUUGUCCCGCCAUUGCUGAUAUGUGUAGAGGAUUAUCGACAGAGUUUAACGCAACUCGAUCAAGCAGAAAUGGAUCUUCCCCGAGUAAUGAGUGAAAUGCAGAAAUAUCUCCAGAACGAGAUGCUUCGAACAAUCUUGGUUCCAUUUCUACUUGAUCUUGUUGCCCUUACCAGUGUGACAAAAUGUAGUGUGAGCUUUGAGUUUUCUUGGGACAUUUUAUAGUAUAUUUAAGGUGAUAGAAUUCGUCACCGGGAAUGGAAUUUGAUCCUAUGGGCAAGCUGGCAAGCAAUGCAAGCAAAAGACAAAAGGACUAUAUGCUUUUUACUAUUAAUUUACCUUUGAAACCUGGAAAGCGGCAUAGAAGGUAACUUAGAAGAUCUGAAAGAUUGAAUGGUCUAAAUUCAUUAAAAUGAAGAAGAAUUAAGGUUAAAAUUUUUUAAAAUUAAUAUGUUGAAUUUAAUCAACAAUUUUUUCAGAAUUGAGCUUGGAUAUUUUGAUUUACAUUGCUUUUAUUCAUGAGUUGAAGUAUUGAGAUUUAGUGACUCAAGUGUAAGAGAAUCAUUUGAAUGAUUUUCAUCUUUUACUGUUAAAAAAUUUAUCAAUUGUUUUCAACUUGCUCAUACUUUAAUUAAAUUUGGAAAAAAAAUUUAAUGCAGUCAAUAUCCAAUAUUUUUAUUUUAUUUUUAUUUAAAUUUAAAAUACUAAAUAUAAAAUUAGUAAUGCAUAAAAUAUAAAUAAUUAAAUUCGAUAUACAAAAUUUCAUAUAAUGAUUAAAUAUAUAAAUAGUUAAAUAAUAUAAAUAAAAAAAUUAUUUCUUAAUUUUACACAAUAGUAGUGAGUAGUCGCGUUCUAUUUUGUCCAAUUGUUGCAUCCACCAUUAUUUCUAUUAAAGGAAGAGGAAAAUCUUGUUCAAGUCCAAAAAGAGAGAGGAUAUUACACUUCUAUAUUUCCGUUAAAGAGGAUUUCCUAUUUGGGUUGGGUUUCCACUUAAAUGUGACCCCGAAUACCUUUCACACCUACUACUUCUACUUGCAAAGAGAGAUGAUGUUGCAACCUCCACCAAGUAUUGCAGAUUCCUCUUUAAGCCUUGGGAGGUCACUUAAAGCCCAUUUAUGCUUCAAUGAAGAAGAAUCCUCUCAUCAAAAGCAGCAACAACUAGCUGUUUAAGGCCUUCAAUGUUCGCUCUGAUUUCCUGAAUGAGUUAGAUACAGAGACAGUGACUUUGUUCAAACAUUUUGGGCUGGCAGGUUGAAUGCAUGACUUGUGCACUAAAACCCCACAUGUUCCCCCCUCUCUCUCUCUCUUCUUUUGGUUUCUUGUGGUUUCCUUUUUUGGGGUUUUGAAUCUGAAAUUGUUUAUGUAUGUACAGAUGGGAGUUUCUUCUUUACAGUCUGGCUAUCAAAAGUCUCAUUGUCAAUUAAUUUCUGAAAUUUCUUUUGAUUCAUGAUUGUGCUUUUUAUAAUGGUCAGGUAAAUACCCUGUAACAUCUGAUAAUACAUGUGAAUAUACCGCUUAAACUUGAAACGCUUGGAAUAUAUCAGAUAAAAACAAUGUAAAAACUUGGAGCUAAAGUCUGAAAAUGGGAGUUUCCCUUUCAUUGAUGCUCCUUUUUCCUCCCAAUUCUGUUAAGGGUGGUACUUUUGGUUGAUACCUGCUCUUAUCCACCUUAAGAUUCUCACAAAAACUUUUCUUUUUUCUUUUGGGGUGCCACUAAAAGUGCAGAGGUGACAAUUGUGUUCAUAAUUGGACAGCAUUUGGGGUUGGAACAAAGAAUGAAAACAUUGAGUGGUGUGUAGAGACCCUGGCCUGGGAUGUACUGAUACUUACAAAGUAGCUGAGUUGACAACAAAUUUUGUACACCAAGAAAUGCUGUUUUUUGGCUUGUGGUUCUUUUGGUAUAGAGAUGGGUUAGAACAAAUUGCUCUAUUUGACAGUUGUCUUUAUUCUUUUGGAUGGGGACAUGGAACAUGUGCAUGCAGUCACUGGCAACUACUGAUCUGCUGGAGAGAAGUGAUCCUACAAAGUUUUAGCUUAAGAGAUAGAUGUAUACCAAAAAUGCUAAUAAUCCGUACAGAUCGACCUAUUAACCUGACAAAUUUCUGUCUGUAAAUUAAUAUAAAGUUUUCAUAGGAUAAGAUGAUGAAAAUAAAAUAAUCUGAUAGAAGCAUGUAAUCCAAAGAGGCCCAAGAAAAUGUCAACCCUGCAUGCUGUUGAUCUAAGAAAGACAAACAUUUAAAAUCGAAAAAAGAAAAAGUUGUGUGGGUCUUGCGGGAUAUAAACAAAAAGCUGCUUUCAAGCUUGGGCCUCAGCCUGGUAAGAGUGUAAUCAAACCCAACUAGUCUUCGAGCAAGACUAGCCCUUUGGUCCAAACCUAGCAAAACAAUACAACAUUGCCAUGAAUCUGUAAUCUGCAAACCUAUGUUAGCUUGAAGAUUCAUAGGAAAUAGACAGGUUUUCUUCCCCCUUAAUUCGUUAAAUAAUGCAAUACGCAUUCUCAAGUUGUUCUUGUGGCUAGCUUGUCUACAACAUGUCCAGAUAUCAAGCUGAGUUGAAUGCAAUUGCAGACCCAGAAAUGAAUGCUUUUCCAAUUAUGGAGAUUGGGGAAUACAUCAGUGUAAGAAGAUGCUAUGUUCAAUGGAGCCUGAUGAAUUAUGGCUAGACCGACAUAAAUCAAACCUGGAGAAUGAUUACAACAUGAUAAUCGAUCAUAUAUCCAAAUGAAAUUGCACAAACUUAAUUAUUGAAACGCUAGCAACCCUUACUUCAAAUUUGAAAGGAAAUUUAUGUGUGAGUGACAUAAUGACAAGUACUGCUGCUGAAAAGGCUAAGGUGUUUGAUGUCAAGAAAACGUAGUAGGCUGCUGUCUCAGAUGCAUAGAUAGAUGAUAGCAGUGCCUGCUGUAUUGUCCUCCUUGGUUUCCUGCCAUACACCACCAAGGGAGGUUAACCCCAGCUUGGAAGGUCACGGUAGCUAUUAGGGUGGCAACUACCAAGAGAACGUUGCGUGCGUCGGCUCUAUUUUUCUCCUUAUCCUCCUUUUUUGCACCUUCCUUAUACUGAAAAUAACGACACCAGUCCCUGAAAGUAGUCCCAACCAUUGUUUUCUCUUUGGUUAUGUCUUACAAACAGAAUUCAAGAAUUGAUGAAGCUCUAUGAGGAUUGAAGAAAAAAAGGUAGUAGAUGGAUUUCUCCAGAAAAGCUUUGGGUUUGGGUGAGUCUUGAUUCAGCUUUUAUAGCAAGCAAUUUACCAUAAUAGUUGGCAACAAUUUCAAUCUCGUGACAAACGUGAAGUCAGAAGCGGAGGGAGGUAGGGCCCCCGCGCCCCCCCACCCCCCUUCUAAAUUUAAAAAAUUUAUAAAUAUUUUAAAAAUUUUAAACGAAUAUAUUAAUUUUUAAAAUGAACAAUUUACUUAAAAAUAUAAAUACUAUUAACAGAAAUUAAAAAAAGAUUUAAUAUAUUAUUUUUUAUUAAUUUAAAAAAUUAUUAUUAUAUUCUAAAAAAUUAAAUAAAAAAAAGAUAGAAGGAAUGGUUGGGCGUACGCCCAGCCAUCCCUUCCCCAACCACCCUGAAUGAUGAGGUUCUGGCUACCAACUCCUUGGUGCCAGAACCCCAUUGCCAGGUUGUCCAAAUUUUUGGACAACCCAACUGUUAAAAAUCAAACCUGCAAAACCAAAAAAAGAGGACAACCAAGAAAACAAGAUAAAAAAUCCAAAAAAUCCUAACCUACCAGCAGACUACCCUAGCCAUAAUAACAAAAAAAAAACAAACACAAAACAAAAACAAAAAAGGAGAAGUUAGAUCUGGAAAAAUGAGUGAGAGGGGGGUUUAAGGGUAAAGAAAAAAGUUUUUUUUCGAGUAGGGGAGAAUCGGAAGGGAGACCUACAACAAGGGAGGCCUACCGACAGAAAGUUGAAGAAGGAAGAAGGAGAGAAAAGAAGAUAGGAGAUCUACCGGGCGAGAGAGAAAUACAGAAGAGAAAGCCGAAGGAGAGGGAAAGAGAGGGAUCGGCUGGCCAAAGGGGAAGUUGAAGAGAGAAAGAAAUGAAAAAGAAGAAAAAGAAGAAAAGAAAAAGUUAGGGAGAGGAUAGAGAGAGUGACGGCUAGAGAGAGAAAAAGAGAGCCAAAAAUGAAAGAGGAAGAAGAAAAUAAGGUUUAAAUACCUAGGGCUUGAGGGCCAAAACGACGUCGUUUUGUGUUGUCUUUGGGUGUUUGAAUUAGCACUAAACGGUGCGUGCAGGAGAAGAAGCUGGUGGUUUAUGGGAAUUUGCUGGUUACGGAUUAAAGCUUACCAGGCCCACUAUCUUUUCUCAGCACCAGGCCCAUCUAUUAGGCCACCUAAAGGCUUUGCUACACCUUGGAAAAAAAAAAAAGAGCCCACACAAGGUAAGACAUUUCUUCUCUUUUUGGGUUNCACAUGUUUCAUAUAAUUUACUAAUUAUUAAAUUAAUAAAAACACACAAAUAAUAAAAUUUAAAUUUAAAUAAUUAAAAACAAAUAUCUCAAAUAUAAUUAAUAAUUUUAUAAGUUAUAAGUUUUGUAAUGUUAAUAAAAAAUAGAAACUAAAUAUGUUUAUAUUUAAAGUGUAUACAUACUAAAAGUAUUUUAGUAUAUAUAUAAUGGUAAGUAUAUUUCUUAUAAAUAAACCUAAUGUAUAAAAAGUAUAUAUAUUAAAAGACAUUACAAGUUAAUAAAUAAUCUAAGUUUCAUUAAUUAAUUUAAUUAAUUAUAUGAAUUUGUCCUUAAUUACAUAAAAUUAAAAAAAUAACUAAGUUUCAAAUCUCACAACUUUUCUUUAGAUUUAUAUAUUAUAAGUGUAUAUAAACAAAUGUAUAUAUAUUGUAAUUAAUAAUUUUAUAAUUUAUAUAUUUUUGUAAUGUUAACACAAAAUAGAGAGUAAAUAUGUUUAUAUUUAAAGUACAUACAUAUAUACUAAAAGUAUUUUAAUAUAUAUAAUAGUAAUUAUAUUCCUUAUAAAUGAACUUAAUAUAUAUAAAGUAUAUAUAUUAAAAGACAUUAUAUGUUAAUUAAUAACUAUAGUUUCAUGAAUUAAUUUAAUUAAUUAUAUAAGUUUGUCCUGAAUUACAGGAAAUUAAAAAAAAUAACUAGGUUUUAAAACUAUUCAAAUUUCACAAUUCCUCUUUAGGUUUAUAUAUUAUAAGUAUAUAUAAAUAAAGGUAUAUAUAUUAUAAUUAAUAAUUUUAUAAAUUAUAAUUUUUUUUAAUAUUAACACAAAAUAGAAAAUAAAUAUGUUUGUAUUUAAAAUAUAUAUUAAAAUAUUUUAAUAUAUAUAGUAGUAAUUAUAUUUCUUAUAAAUUAACACAAUAUAUAAACUAUAUAUAUUAAAAAAUAUUACAAAUUAAUUAAUAAUCAUAUUUUUAAAAUGGCUAAGGGAACAUUGUUGGUACAUUACAGUCUGGCUAUCAAAAGUCUCAAUGUCGAUCAAUUUCUGAAAUUUCUUUUGGUUCAUGAUUGUGCUUUUUUUAAUGGUCAGGAAAAUUCUAAAUACCCUGUACCAUCUGAUAAUGCAUGUGAAUAUACAGCUUGAACUUGAAACCCUUGGAAUAUAUCAAAUAAAAAUAAUAUAAAAACUAGCAUUAAAAGUCUUAAAGUGGGAGCUUCCUUUUCAUUGAUGCUCCUUUUUUCAUCCCAAUUCUGUUAAGUGUGGUACUUUUGGUUGAUACCUGCUCUUAUCCACCUUACGAUUCUCACAAAAACUUUUCUUUUUUCUUUUGGGGUGCCACUAAAAGUGCAAAGGUGACGAUUGUGUUCAUAAUUGGGCAGCAUUUCGGGCUGGGACAAAGAAUGAAAACAUUGAGUGGUGCAUAAAGCCGUUGGCUUGGGAUUUAGUGAUACUUAUUGUCAUAACGUGAGGGUCCGAGAAUCCAAUCACUAGACGUGAACGAAAAUAAAAUAUCUAGGAGUCGUCGUUAAUCUUUUUUUUAUUUAGGUGUGAUUGGCCACCUAUUAACCCUAUUAUAAUUAAUGAAGUUCUAAUUUAAUUUUAGAUCUAUUGACAGAACGAGAACUGAUCCACGUUUUUUAGAUAUAGGUUUAGGAGUGCGGUUACGCAUGGAGAAGGGUUAGCACCUUCGUGACGCCCGUUCCACAAACGAUACCAUUUAAUCUUAAGUUAUCAUAUUGAAGCCUACCUUGAUUUUAUUCCUGUGUUUCCUUAAUCCUUUUUAUUAAUUAAUUCUUUGUUAUGUUAUCUGCUUGAAUCUUUUAGUCGGUUUUACGGAUGCACAUGACGCAGUCAUAAAAUGAUGUUAUGAUUUGUCGAAUUUUAAAUGAUGAGGUCGGCAAUCUUUUAUUGAAAAAUCAUUCGUAGAUCAUCCCAGCGCUUUGGUGAAGUUUCGAAGUUUUUCUCACCUAGGGAUAUCCCGAGAAAGACUCGUCUCUGUGAGCUCUUCGAGAAAAUCCCAUCAUCGAAAUUUUAACCCCAACAGCAAGAUAUAUGUGGUAUGCUAUGACAGUAUAAAAAUGAUGAUAUCGACAUGACCAUGUUUAUUAAUUAGUUGGUUGGUAAUAAUAACAUGUUUAAUAAUUUAAGGUGAUUUAUUACCUUAUUUAUAUAUAUUUUUAUUAUUAUUAUUAUUAUUUAUGUAUAUUAUUUUAAACAACAAUUAUUUGGACUAAUGGGUAUCGGAGUAUAGAAUUCGAAUUUAUCCCGACGCUUCAAUGAAAAUUCAUCUCGAACUCCGUACCUAAGAAAUCCACUGGAAAGAGGCAAUUCUUUGCCCUUUUUAGGUGAAGUUCUAUCAUCGGAUCAACUCAAAUUAACCGCUUGAUUUUUUUUAUAUUUGUAAUUUAAUAUUAUAUUGUACAUUCUAUAUAUUUAUAAAUAGCUAGAUCAAUUUUGUAAUACUUUAUUCUCAUUUUUUAUUUCUUUUCAUUUUUUUAGACCCAUUUCUAUUAUUUAUUAAUUAUUUUAUACAUAUUUAAAAAAAACUAAGUACUUUCUAAUCUUCCAUUUAAUUAAUUAAUUUUUUUUACCUUGUUCAUUCACCUAUUUUUUGUUAUAUGUUCAUAUAUAUAUUUAUACAUGCAUAUCUAUUAAUUUACUACAUUUACUAUCUAUUGUAUUAAAUAUUUUCAUUUUUAGCUUUCAUAUGUUUUAUUUUUCAUGUGCAUAAAUUUCAAACAACACCAAAAAUAAUAAAACUAUUAUAACACUUAAACAAGAAAUUAAAUAACCAUUUUCAGUAGUUCAAGCCCAAACCAUUAUUUAAUGAAUAAAUCCAAUACCUAUUGGGUUGUAACUAACCCACUGCUUCAAAUGGGUUCAAGCUCCACUAGGCUUCAAAGGUCCCCUCCAAUUCGGUUUGGGCCCAAAGGGUCUGCUGCACUUGUUUUUUUUCUGAUUUGGGCUUGAAUAGUUCAAGAAUGCCUUAGCCCAAGGAGGAUAUCAAGCUUGCCGCAACAAGCCACUUAAUCCUCUUCAAUGUGCGUCGUUUUUGGCUUUCAAAAAUGCUUCAAACGACGUCGUUUUGAUCUCUUAUACCUGGGUAUAAAAGCUUCUUUUCUUUUCUCUCUCUUCACUUUCCUCUCUCACUUUCUCUCUCUUGCCACAAUUCUCUCAAUCUUCUCCUUAAGCUUUUCUUUUUUUUCUUUUCUUCUUCUCUCUUUUUUUUUUCUUUCUUUCUUGGCUCGCAGAUCUCCCUCCUCUCUCUUUCUCCCAGCUUCUUCCCCUCUCUUUUGCCGCCGGCGUCCCUUCUCCUCCACCGACCAGAUCUGGGUCUCCAAGACCUUUUUUUUUUUUUCUGCUUUCUCCUUUUUUACUUUUUGUGUUUUUUUGUUGUGAUUUUGGUUUUUUUAGUGCUUGUGGUUAGGUAUUUAAGCUGGUAGAUCUUAGGAUUUUUUUGUUUCUAAAAAUCUGUGUUGUUUUUUUUUUGUGUUCUUGAUUGUUGGAUUUUUUUUGAAGAAGAUGGAGUUUUUUUUUUUAAUCCGAUUUUUCUUUUCCAAAAAUCCCCCCUCAGCCUCAGAUUUUUCAAGGUUCUUUUAGAACCCAAUUGUCUAAAUCUUUGGACAAUCAUGAUCUUGGCAACACUAAUUCUGGAUGGGUAACCUUCAGGUCAAAAAAAAUUCACCAAAAAUGAAAUCAAAUCUCAGCUGCCAGAAGAGCAUUGAAUGCUCUGUAUUUUGUUGACAAUGAAGGCUAAGCGUGCUUCCAGCGUUUUUUUUUUAAUUUUGAUUUUUUAAUUUUUUAUUUAUUAUUAUUGUUUUUAUUUUAUUAAAAAGAAGUGUCUACACUUACACAGUAGGUGAGUUGACAACACUAAUAUGUAUACAAAGAAAUGUUGUUUUUUUGCUCGUGGUUCAUUUGGGUACAGAGAUGGUUCAGAACAGAUUGCUCUAUUUGACAGUUGUCUUUAUUCUUUUGGAGGGGGACAUGGAACAUGUGCAUGCAGUCACCAGCAACUAUUGAUCUACUAGAGAGAAGAAGUGAUCCUGCAAAUUUUUAGCUUAGGAGAUAAAUGUAUACAAAGAGUGCUAAUAAUCCGUACAGAUUGACCUAUUAGCCUGGCAAAUUUCUCUUUGUAAAUUAAUAUAAAGUUUUCAUAGGAUAAGAUGAUGAAAAUAAGGAUAAUAUGAUGAAAAUAAAAUAAUCUGAUACAAGUAUGUAAUCCAAAGAAGCCCCAGAAAGUGUCAACCUUUGGAUGCUAUCCAUAAAUGGAACAAAAAACUUAGAAAACAAUUCAACCUUGCCAUGAAUCUGUGAUCUGCAAACCCAUGUUAGCUUGAAGAUUCAUGGGAAAUAGACACGUUUCUUCUCCUCAAUUCGUUCAAUUUUGCAAUAUGCAUUGUCAAGUUCUUCUUAUGUCUGCUUGUCUACAACAUGUCCAGAUUUGAAGCUGAGUUCAGUGCAAUUGCAGACCCAGAGAUGAAUCUUUUUCCAUUUAUGGAGAUUAGGGAAUUCCAUUGGUGUAGAAAAGAUGCUAUGUUGUCAAUUGAGCUUGAUAAAUUAUGGCUAGACCGACAUAAAUCAAACUUUGGAGAAUGAUUACAAAUAGAUGAUCAUAUACCCUUUAAUUUUUCUAAAAAAAAUAUAAGGGCAAAUUAAAUAACACAAACUUAAUUAUUUCUUCAAUUUUAUGAAAAAAAAAAAGAAAUAUUGUUAUCAUAGAAAAAGCUAUGCUACCUAUUCUUUUAUGACUAAAAUUACUAUAACAAUUCGUAACCGAACUUCGAUAAUUGAUGCAUCUAUUUAUUAUUUAAAAAAAUAAAUUUGAAUUAUUUUAAAUAAUAAAAAAAUUAUAGAGACAUUUGAAUUUUCAUUUGUUGAACAUUUGAAUGAAAUUUCAAAUUAAAUAAAGUACAAUAACCAUUACUAUCGAAAUAAAUCAAAACUUGAUAGAUUCACGAGAUGUGAAACAAACAGAUACUUUAUUUAUAUAUAGAGCAUACAAAAUUACACACUUUAUUUACUUAUCAUACAAACUUAAUUUUACAUCACUUAGGAAGACAAACUCACAAAUACUAAUAUUAAUUUGGUACAAAACUAUUUUUAAUUUUUUAUUUUUCAAGAUUUUUUUUUCUAUUUUUAAUCUUAUCAUGAGAAACCUGCAAAUCUUGGAUACAUACCCUACGUCCACAUCCCGUAAAUAUAUAUACAUAGCUUGAGUUCUAGAUUAUUCAGGCUCCCACCUUCUAGGAGUUGAGAGUGAAAGCCAUCCACCUAAGGUUUUGCUUGCUGGGUCUGGUCUUUCGGGGGCUCUGCUGUCUUGUUCCUAGGUCCGACAAAUGCCUGGAUCAAGCAUGGAGGCUCAGGUUCCCUGUUUUUCAACUUAACCAACAGCUGGAUCAAGCACCGCAAAAUUAAAGGCGCAGCAGCUGUGAUCAAGGCGAGUUGAAAUUUGUCUUCAUCUCCGGUAACAGCAAAGAUUGCAGAUCCAUAAGUUAUAAUCAUUGAAACGCCAGCAACCCUUACUUCAAACUUGAAAGGAAAAUUAUGCGUGAGAGACAUAAUGACAAGUACCGCUGCAGAAAAGGCUAGGGUGUUGGAAGUCAAGAAAACGUAGUAGGCAUCUGAGUCAGAUGCACAGAUAGCAGUGCCUGCCGUAUGGUAAUCGUUGGUUUCCUGCCAUACACCGCCAGGGGGGUUAACCCCAGCUUGGAAGGUCACGGCAGCUAUAAGGGUCGCAACUACCAAGAGAGCGUUGCGGGCGUCGGCUCUAUUCUUAUCCCUGUCCUCCUCGUUUGCACCUUCCUUGUACUGAA
rnacentral:lncRNA from 1 species